rnacentral:tRNA from 1 species
AUUUAUAUAGUUUAAAGAAAACAUUACAUUUUCAAUGUAAAAAUAAUAAAAAUAAAUAUUUAUAAAUA